rnacentral:tRNA from 3 species
AAAGAAAUAUCUUAAAAAAAGCUUCUAACUUUUUAAAAAGCAUGAAUAUGUUUAU